GGGGAUGCACUGGAUUUGAUUGAGUCCGAUUUCGUGCAGUCGCAAGCAGGGGAGCUGAACCCUUAUAUUUAGCAAAACCAUAAAUGCCGAUAAAGACGCAUUUGUAGGCGUACCAGCAAUGGCCGCCGUAGCAGCUUAAUUUAUUAACGCUGUGGAUUCCGUUUCUUUUGCCCGGAAGGGUUUACGGGGUCUAAUAAAUCCGGGAAGAGGUCAUGUCAACAUUAGCCGUGUUGGCACACCGGGGAUGAAAAAUCCGAAGAUCUUAGCUUGCGGUAGGGCAAAAAAGGUUCUUCAAGCACCCGGCUCUAUCUAAGAUAAGCUUGGAUAAGUUUGUAGAAGCUGCAUGAAAAGCUCUCAAGACGGGGGUUCGAUUCCCCCCAUCUCCACCA
rnacentral:tmRNA from 4 species